rnacentral:rRNA from 1 species
CGGAUAGAGCCAGCGAAGUCGCUCGUAUUCAGCCAAAAGUCUGGGGUUGCCUCUCGUCGUGUUUCUAAUCGAGCACGGCGGUUUGUCUUCUCCGGAUUGAGGUGCAUUUGCGGGCGUUUGCGCUGAGACUUGCGAGGCAGCUGCGGGACCGGCGUCUAGAGGCUUCCCAUUGGGUCGAACCUGGGCGCCGUUACAGCUGUUUGCCUUGCUCGUACUGGUCUGGCCUACGGACCCUGCUCGUGCUGUUGUCAGCUGGCCAAGGCAUCGCAUGCGAUGUCUAGCCUGGGGGCUGCAGCGCGGGUUGGUGUCCCCGGAUCGCCUCUCGGUGUAGAAGCUGGUCAUCUCUCCGACCCGUCUUGAAACACGGACCAAGGAGUUUAGCGUAUGCGCGAGUCAUUGGGUGUUAAAACUCACAGGCGCAAUGAAAGUGAAGGCUCGGUCGCCGGGCUGACAUGCGAGUGCCGCGGCUUCGGCCUAGGCAUGCAGCAUGGUCCCAUUGCAAUCGUUUACGAUACAGUGGAGACAGAGCGUAUGCGCUGAG